rnacentral:rRNA from 1 species
UACGGAGGGUGCGAGCGUUGUCCGGAAUCACUGGGCGUAAAGGGCGCGUAGGCGGUGGGGCAAGCGUGUGGUGAAAGUCCGGGGCUCAACCCCGGAUCGGCCGUGCGAACUGCUUCACUUGAGCACUGUAGAGGCAGGUGGAAUUCCGGGUGUAGCGGUGGAAUGCGUAGAGAUCCGGAAGAACACCGGUGGCGAAGGCGGCCUGCUGGGCAGUGGCUGACGCUGAGGCGCGACAGCGUGGGGAGCAAACAGG